UACGGAGGGUCCGAGCGUUAAUCGGAAUUACUGGGCGUAAAGCGUGCGCAGGCGGUUAAUUAAGCGAGAUGUGAAAUCCCUGGGCUCAACCUAGGAAUGGCAUUUCGAACUGGUUGACUAGAGUUGUAUAGAGGGGGGUAGAAUUCCACGUGUAGCGGUGAAAUGCGUAGAGAUGUGGAGGAAUACCGGUGGCGAAGGCGGCCCCCUGGAUACAAACUGACGCUCAUGCACGAAAGCGUGGGGAGCAAACAGG
rnacentral:rRNA from 1 species